GAUGAACGCUGGCGGCGUGCCUAAUACAUGCAAGUCGAGCGAACAGACGAGGAGCUUGCUCCUCUGACGUUAGCGGCUGACGGGUGAGUAACACGUGGAUAACCUACCUAUAAGACUGGGAUAACUUCGGGAAACCGGAGCUAAUACCGGAUAAUAUAUUGAACCGCAUGGUUCAAUAGUGAAAGACGGUUUUGCUGUCACUUAUAGAUGGAUCUGCGCCGCAUUAGCUAGUUGGUAAGGUAACGGCUUACCAAGGCAACGAUGCGUAGCCGCCCUGAGAGGGUGAUCGGCCAAACUGGAACGGAGACCCGGUCCAGACUCCUACGGGAGGCAGCAGUAGGGAAUCUUCCGCAAUGGGCGAAAGCCUGACGGAGCACCGCCGCGUGAGUGAUGAAGGUCUUCGGAUCGUAAAACUCUGUUAUUAGGGAAGAACAAAUGUGUAAGUAACUAUGCACGUCUUGACGGUACCUAAUCAGAAAGCCACGGCUAACUACGUG
rnacentral:rRNA from 1 species